ensembl:antisense A930024E05Rik RIKEN cDNA A930024E05 gene
GACUUUUGGAGGGCUGAGUUGCAGGCGGCGGGCGCAUCCCAGAGAUGGCGGGGCAGGGAGGGAGGGAAAGAGAGGAGGGGGUGGGGAGGGAGGUGCAGAUUUGCACGGAUGGCCUCAGCGGGAGGCGCGGAAAUGCUAGCCAAGCCUGCUGGCGUGAAAGCCCCCGGGGCCUGGCACCCCCCAAAACGACCCCCCACCUCUGCCCCUGCCCCCUCUUGCUUGGGUUACGCAGGGCUGUCCCUCUCUUCCUUCACCCACCUUUCCUCAUUACCUAUGCUGGCGACCUAAAUUCAAAGUAUUUUGUAUGUGUGAUUUCUUUUUCUGUUUUGCUUUUCUACUGCAUGCCUGGGGGGAGGGGCCAGCCUGUCCAGACCCUUAUCCAUUUGCGAACCUGCCAUAUGGAGGAGGCAUCUGAGGGGCUCAGAAAGAAAUUACCUCAGCACUGUAUCUGUACAGACUGCAUAACUUUUAAACUCCCGGGGCUGAAAUAAUAAUAUGGAGACACACGCACAGGUACAGGAAAUACAGCCAGUCCACAGCCUUUUCAGACUGCAGCUGACCGGAAGAAAGCCUUUGGUUCAUUCAUUCGGAUAGCCUCGGUAGUACAGCCCUGAAAUAGAAGUUGGGCUUUUAAAGAGAAAGGAAAAAAAGUCUCUACACUCGCUGAGAAGAGAUAAAUCGAUACACAGGAGGGAAUAGAGAAUCGGAUUCAGCGUCUCUAAUGCAGGCAGGCAAAAGGCUUCUGUGCCCUGUGGCUUGAAGUAAAAAAGAAACAAAACUCUUUAACAACUGUCCAGCCUGACUCUUGGAGAACGGCUUAAUGUUCUACUUAGCAUUCUGGGUGGUUUUUUGUUUUUCCAGUGUGCCUCUUCCUGUGUAAGGACUGGAAAGGACCCUGGAAACCACAGAGAACUCCCCUGCCUCAAAGGAACGAGAUGACGAAUGAGGAUGCCUAAAACCUCCUCUGGCCUCCGAGAGUCCAUGGGUCCAAGCACCUGCACAUGACACAUGCAUAAGUAAUGAUCACCCAGUGCCCAAUGCUGAGCCUGUGGCUACGGAGAGAGAGAGCAGACAUAUCUUCUUGCCUCUGGCUACUAGACUGCCCUGAGAUCAGAGAGAUCCUGCACCAGGUGCCUGGGUUGUACAGAACCAGGGACGGAACGUAUGGUGUUGGGUGUGAUAGGUAAUCACUUAGCUACAUCACCCACAUCCCUGCCUGUCACUGUCUUUAAUAUACAUCAUAUCUUAAGCGGUACCUCUGUUUGGUCUCAAACUACAACUUAGCUGGAAGCCCACACCCUGCCAUUUCUCCCCAAGUGCCCGCACUACAAUCCCUCCCACGGGGUGUAGUUCCUCUUUCCUGGGUAAAUUAUUUUGCAGGUGGUGUCACUGGCCACUGGCUUUUAAUCCUUUUCAGAUGGCAUUCAGUAAUUCAUAGAUUGUUCAUGAAACGCAACCUUGCACACACGCGCGCGCACACAGAGCAGCCUUUAUAGGAAACCCUCCUGUUCCCUCCCUCCCCGUGCCACCUGUUCCUGGAAGAGAACAGGCUUUCCCCUGGGGAGGAUGGAAUGUUCCACAAAAGGACAGUUGGCUCUUCUCCCCAGCUCCAAGAGGAACUCUUAGUCAUCUAACAUCUGCCUCUCUUGUUUAAGUAAAAAAUUCUUUGCAAAGACAGAUCUUGUCUUCAGCCCCAUGGAUCCGGCUCACAGGGUACACGUCUAAAAAUACUUAGGGGCUGGAGAGAGGGCCCAGUGGUUAAGAACACUUGCUGUUCUGACCAAAGGACCUGAGGGGCUCACAACCAUUUGUGCAUGUUCUCAAACAGGCGCGUGCGAGAGCACGUGUGCACACACAUACCUGUGCGUAAAAAUAAAAAAUGUGAUAAAGAAAAAA